rnacentral:rRNA from 1 species
CUCUCGGGGUUACAGCCUUGCUGAAUUAUUCACCCUUGUCUUUUGCGUACUUCUUGUUUCCUUGGUGGGUUCGCCCACCACUAGGACAAACAUAAACCUUUUGUAAUUGCAAUCAGCGUCAGUAACAAAUUAAUAAUUACAACUUUCAACAACGGAUCUCUUGGUUCUGGCAUCGAUGAAGAACGCAGCGAAAUGCGAUAAGUAGUGUGAAUUGCAGAAUUCAGUGAAUCAUCGAAUCUUUGAACGCACAUUGCGCCCUUUGGUAUUCCAAAGGGCAUGCCUGUUCGAGCGUCAUUUGUACCCUCAAGCUUUGCUUGGKGUUGGGCGUCUUGUCUCUAGCUUUGCWGGAGACUCGCCUUAAAGUAAUUGGCAGCCGGCCUACUGGUUUCGGAGCGCAGCACAAGUCGCACUCUCUAUCAGCAAAGGUCUAGCAUCCAUUAAGCCUUUUUUCAACUUUUGACCUCGGAUCAGGUAGGGAUACCCGCUGAACUUAAGCAUAU